AAAAAAAUAAAAAAAAAAAAGAAGAAAUGUGAUCAGGCAAAGUUUUUGGUAAAUGCAUUCAGAUGAAAAGCUCAAGGCACCUGAGACUAAAUAUGCCUAGAACUAAACUCAUCCAUCCUCCUCCAAAAUCAACAGACAGUAACACUGGUAAAUGUGACAGAGGAGUCUUAAAAGCAAAAGAAGAAAAGAACUCUGAAAAAUGGACACAAGCACUAAAAGCCCCAACAGAUAUUUGAGGUUGCCCUCACAGUGAAAACUACAAAAUUAGAUGAAAAACCAAAAGUCAAUUUUGCAUACUCUUGAAAUUGCUACCCUUCUUGAGGCCUUAUCCAGGAAUAUCUUAUUAUAUGGAGUCGAAGAAACCAAGAAAGAAUGAGGAAGUGGAUGUUUUACAAGCUGAGGGAAUAUGGGAUAAAGCAAAGGACAGAGUGUUAUAAUAAACAACCUGAAGUGUCAGAUGCAGCAAUGUGGAGGAAGAACAGAGGAAGACCAGGGAUCCGAAAUCUGCAUUUGAAUUCUGACUGCCACUUUCUGGUUUCAUCCAUGGGGGACAGUUUAGGAACCACAGGCUCCCUGGAUAUGCAAGCAGAGCCUCAUGACAACGUUCCUCACCCAAAUGAAUCUUUAGUUAACCUCUGCCUUUAUCUCACAACUGACUCAACUGGAUCUCAAGCCCAUCAUGGAAGGAACACACACUUCUCAGACCUACUCCAUGACAAUGAGCACCUUCUGAUUGUACUCCCAAACUGCACCUUGGGGCUACUGUAACCCAUGAACAACCAAUGAAAGGCAAGUUUGCUCAUCCGUGCCUCUAUGUCAGUUUUAAACAAUAAUAGAGAAACAAAAGCAAUAAA